rnacentral:rRNA from 1 species
AGAGUGAGUGAUCGAUGUAGAGUGAAAUUGUAGAUAUUGAUCACACCAGUGGCGAAGGCGGCUCAUUGACCGUGUGACGCUGAGUACGAAAGCGUGGGAGCAAACAGGAUUAGAUACCUGGUAGUCCACGCCGUAAACGAUGAUAACUAGCUGUUGGGGCUCUUGGAGCAUCAGUGGCGCAGCUAACGCAUUAAGUUAUCCGCCUGGGGAGUACGGCCGCAAGGUUAAAACUCAAAGGAAUUGACGGGGGCCUGCACAAGCGGUGGAGCAUGUGGUUUAAUUCGAAGCAACGCGCAGAACCUUACCAGCGUUUGACAUGCCUGGACGGUUUCCAGAGAUGGAUUCCUUCUCGCAAGAGACUAGGACACAGGUGCUGCAUGGCUGUCGUCAGUUCGUGUCGUGAGAUGUUGGGUUAAGUCCCGCAACGAGCGCAACCCUCGCCUUUAGUUACCAUCAUUCAGUUGGGGACUCUAAAGGAACCGCCGGUGAUAAGCCGGAGGAAGGUGGGGAUGACGUCAAGUCCUCAUGGCCCUUACACGCUGGGCUACACACGUGCUACAAUGGCGGUGACAAUGGGCUGCAAACCCGCGAGGGUGAGCUAAUCUCAAAAAGCCGUCUCAGUUCGGAUUGUUCUCUGCAACUCGAGAGCAUGAAGGCGGAAUCGCUAGUAACCGCGGAUCAGCAUGCCGCGGUGAAUACGUUCCCAGGCCUUGUACACACCGCCCGUCACMCCAUGGGAGUUGGAUUGACCCGAAGGCAGUGGGCUAACCCGCAAGGAGGCA